CUGUAAGCGCGCGCUAAUGUCUGGUUUUAAUGACUCGGCGCCUUUGCGUCAUUUCCGUAUCCUCGUCGUCACGUCCCAACCGCACAGUGGUCGCUGUUGGCGGCCAUAUUGGAGAGGGCAAUCUGCAACUACGAUCCACGUUGUUUUGAUCCAAUCAAAGUUCAGGACAACCACUGAAGAAGAACUGGUGUCAAACAACGCGCCAGUUGGCAAAAAUGAUACCGAAGAAAGUACUAACUAUCGAAACUACGAGGUGAUCAACAAAAAACGAAUUGCAGUUUGCAAAACAUGCGGGUCGAAGAUUACAGACUUUGUUCGACAUCUGAAGUUGCACAAAGAACGGUAAGUAAAAGCUAACGCUAGCUUAUCGACUAAGUAAUUUUACUAUCUGCAUAGUUAAAUCAAUGAGACUGUAAACUCAGUGUUAACGUAACAUUGCAAACACGGUCACCUGAGUCCACUGCGGGUUCACUCACACACUCAUACUUUUGUUAUAAAGAGAUAGUUCAUGCAAAAGUGAGAUGUCCACUGCAUCUACCUCGUCUGCAUGUUUUGCAACACAUGCAGGCUGUAAAAACACAAGUUCUUUGUUUUUUUUCUCUGCAGGCCACAAUAUUUCUUCUUCCCCCUGUAAUAAAUAAUGUAUGCAAAAAUAAUUGUACAAAAGGACACAGUGACCUUUCAAAAUUAACGUUUGUUUUAUUGAUCAAUGAGUGCUUACACACAGCGUCACUAAACACACAAUCAUGUCCCCAGUUUGUUGCACAGACACACGUAUAAACAGAUGGUAUUACUAUUUCACCCUGAGUAUAUAUAUUGAUUCAGGCCACUUAAGAACAGGGUCAUUUGACACACUUGGCGAAUGUCACAAGAUCUUAUAAAAGAGCAGAAAAACUUUCUCGCCGGAAACCAAUCUGAGGUGUUCAGGAAUGUCAGACAAGAAAAAAAA